AAGGAGGAGAAAGAGGAGGAGUAAAGCAGGCCCUCUCGACGUCGGCCUGUGGGGAGCGAUGCCGACAAGCAGGAGCGGUCCCGGCUUCGGAAAGGGCCCACCCUGAGGAAUGGUCCGGCCGGGCCUAGCGAGGAUGUCCCUACCGCGAUGCUGGUUCCGUUACCCAGGGUGGACAGGCGCGGAAGCGGGACGGGGAAGAGCGAUAGUUUCGCGGCGUUUGCCCAGCCUCAACCCCUGGGAUGCGGGUGAGAGACAUGGAGGACUGGUCAGAAUUUGCGCGUCCCUGGGGCCGCACAAAAGGCUCCCAGCCGGCCUCCCGCAAUGUCCUCACCUGUACCUGGCAGCCGACCCCCUGGAUCCGCAGCGCCGCCAGGAGAAGUCCUGCGCAGCGCUGGGAAACGACAAAAGAAGGCAGCCUGACGGGCAGCGACAGCCACAGCAACAGCAACAGCCCCACUGCCGCCGGGGAUUCCAGGUUGCCGAGGAGCCCAAGUAGAAGAAAUAUGGAGUUUAGAGCCUGAGAAUUUUGAAAAAUUAAAGCCAGUUCAUGGGUUAAUUUUUCUUUUCAAGUGGCAGCCAGGAGAAGAACCAGCAGGCUCUGUGGUUCAGGACUCCCGACUUGACACGAUAUUUUUUGCUAAGCAGGUAAUUAAUAAUGCUUGUGCUACUCAAGCCAUAGUGAGUGUGUUACUGAACUGUACCCACCAGGAUGUCCAUUUAGGCGAGACAUUAUCAGAGUUUAAAGAAUUUUCACAAAGUUUUGAUGCAGCUAUGAAAGGCUUGGCACUGAGCAAUUCAGAUGUGAUUCGACAAGUACACAACAGUUUCGCCAGACAGCAAAUGUUUGAAUUUGAUACGAAGACAUCAGCAAAAGAAGAAGAUGCUUUUCACUUUGUCAGUUAUGUUCCUGUUAAUGGGAGACUGUAUGAAUUAGAUGGAUUAAGAGAAGGACCGAUUGAUUUAGGUGCAUGCAAUCAAGAUGAUUGGAUCAGUGCAGUAAGGCCUGUCAUAGAAAAAAGGAUACAAAAGUACAGUGAAGGUGAAAUUCGAUUUAAUUUAAUGGCCAUUGUGUCUGACAGAAAAAUGAUAUAUGAGCAGAAGAUAGCAGAGUUACAAAGACAACUUGCAGAGGAACCCAUGGAUACAGAUCAAGGUAAUAGUAUGUUAAGUGCUAUUCAGUCAGAAGUUGCCAAAAAUCAGAUGCUUAUUGAAGAAGAAGUACAGAAAUUAAAAAGAUACAAGAUUGAGAAUAUCAGAAGGAAGCAUAAUUAUCUGCCUUUCAUUAUGGAAUUGUUAAAGACUUUAGCAGAACACCAGCAGUUAAUACCACUAGUAGAAAAGAUAUUCUGAUAUAGGGGAAGGAUUCUUUAAUAAGUUCCCCAAGUGAUUCUAAUGCAACUGGUCUGUGUACCACAGUUUGAGAAACACUUUGAGAAGACACUACUAGGCAAAUAAAAUUUUGGACCAUUAACUUAAAGACGAGAAUACAUGGUAGGUAUAUUUUCCUUAUUAAUUUUAAAGUUUACAAAGCAAAGAUUGAUUUCAACCAAGCUGUUUCAUGUUAUACAUUCUAAAUAAUAUGAGAUGUGAGCUAAUAAGUUUUUUGUGUAUAUUACCUUAUUGAUUGAAACAUGUGACCCAACUUUUAGCAUUAAAUGUAAAAAUUAUUGCAGAAGACUGCUAAAUCUUCUCUUUUCCAUUAUAGGUUUUUCUGUUCAUGCAUCUCAGGGUGUAUUCUAAGAUGGGAAACUGUUUUUAAAGUUUUAGAUUAAUACAGGGUCCUGUGGUUCUCAAAAUUGCUUGGUUAACAAGAAUACCUAGAUAUGAUGUUAUUAAUCAUAUCAAAUGUUUUUCUGUUAAAAAUAUUAAAAUAACUAUAAAAUGUGCUAAAUAUGUGAUACAUCAGAUUUU
rnacentral:lncRNA from 1 species